AAAAGAUCUGCUGUACUGUCCUAUUGUCUUUCUGUUGUCUCUGUUGUGAGGAUUUAUGUAUUUCUAUUAAUGCAGAAGCAUGUUUUACAUACUCACAGCAGCAUGCAUGCAUAUCGACUUGUAUUGUGUCAUCUCAUUUGUUUCUGUCUUGCUGAGGAAUUUAUGUACGCCUGUUCAUGCAACAGCACCACAUCUUACAUGCUCACAGCACCGUGUCUGUGUAUCUAGUGGCAAUAAGCAAGUCAAUUCUCUAGUCUGCCAAGACCUACUACAUUAUCAUAUUCAUUAAUGUGUUAAAACUAUUCAGAGAGUUGUGAUGAUUGAAAUAUACAUAUAUGCUCUACCCUAUUGAAAUUUUAUAUACUAGACAUUAGACACUGACACUAGUAACUAAACAAAAUGAAAAUAAGGCUAUUUCUUUCAUAAUAAAUGACAACACAAUCGUGUUCAUAUUUUAAAAUUGACUUACCCAGCCCAAACACAAAUGUCCAGGAUACAAUGGUCAUUGGCAUGAAUAUAUUGCUGAUAUGCAGUAAAUGUACAAGGGAGAAUGAGAAUGUGCAAAAUGUUUGUUUGCAUCAUUGUAGCUUGGUGCUGAUUGGAGCAGCUGCUGCCUGUUACAACUGACACCGCUCUCCUUUAUACAGGAGGAAUGGCUGCUGGGAAAACUCUUCCGGCCCUCAGACACCAGGUCUGGCUCUCCAGUACACAGCAUCUUGGCAUUCAUUUGGCCAUCAGGGAAACAGCGGUGGAAGUAGUCUGGCCUUGGCCUGAGAUUAAGAUCAACAUCAGAGAUCUUAGCCAAUGGUCUUCAACCCUUCUCCUGGGGACCCACUGUUCCGCAGAGUUUAGCUCCAAACCUAAUCAAAUAAACCUGAACCAUCUAAUCAAGUUCUUCAGUAUUGCUUGAAAAUCACAGGCAGGUGUGCUGAACCAGGCUGGAUGCUACCGGAGGGAAAUUGGUCCAUCUAGCACAAUAAUGCAUUUUGGUCAUGCAGUAUCUAGUGAUGGAUGAUCUAUUAUCUAGUUAUUAGAUCACUGUAUUUAUUUAGGUUGAGCUUAGGUUUCCAAACCUCUGAACUGCACAAUAAACAUCACUUAGA